rnacentral:ncRNA from 1 species
UGUGGGGUGAUGGCGUGCCUUUUGAAGAAUGAGCCUGCGAGUCAGCGGCACGUCGCGAGGUUAACCCGUGUGGGGUAGCCGUAGCGAAAGCGAAUACUAACUAGUGUGUUUGUAGUGGCGUGUCCUGGACCCGAAGCGGGGUGAUCUACCCAUGGCCAGUGUGAAGCAGAGGUAAGACUCUGUGGAGGCGCGAACCCACUUAGGUUGAAAACUGAGGGGAUGAGUUGUGGGUAGGGGUGAAAGGCCAAUCAAACUCCGUGAUAGCUGGUUCUCCCCGAAAUGCAUUUAGGUGCAGCGUCGUGUGUUUCCUCCUGGAGGUAGAGCUACUGGUUGGUUUAGCGGGACUAUCAUCUUAGCGACAUCAGCCAAACUCCGAAUGCCGGUGAGGUGAGAGCACGGCAGUGAGACUGCGGGGGAUAAGCUUCGUAGUCGAGAGGGAAACAGCCCAGAUCGCCGGCUAAGGCCCCUAAGGGUAUGCUAAGUGGAAAAGGAUGUGGGAUCGCGAAGACAACCAGGAGGUUGGCUUAGAAGCAGCCAUCCUUGAAAGAGUGCGUAAUAGCUCACUGGUCGAGUGGUCCUGCGCCGACAAUGUAGUGGGGCUCAAGCAUACCGCCGAAGCCGCGGCAGUGACUUUGUGUUGCUGGGUAGGGGAGCGUCGUGUUCGGCUGUGAAGCUGCGGGGUGACCUGUG